GGUAAAAUGGCCGAAUCAGGUGCAAGGUUGUAGCCCUUGUCAUAAAGGUUAUAGUCCUUUUUUUAUCA
rnacentral:tRNA from 3 species